UGCUCUCAGGCCAUGAGAAAUGUAAAUUUGGUCAUGGUCCCUUUUGUUUUUGAACAAAAAUAGUUUUGAUACCAAUAAUUUCAUGUUGUAUUGCAAGACUUGUAAUGAAUAGGAAAAUAUCUACUAAAUUACAUAGCUUUUAUUUAUAUUCAAAUCUGAAAAUUCUACCAUUUCCCCAUUAACUAGCAGCAUUCAUUUAUAGUUAUUUAUGAAAUCUCAAGGGGCUCUUUCAUUGGGAUUUCUUAUUUUUACUUAUGUCUUUUGUUAAUUUCUUUAAUUGGAGUGGGGGCAAAAUGAAUAACUCAAUAAAGGCUUUUUAAUGACACAAUUGGCAUGUUUGCAUGAUGAAGGGGAAAUGAACAGUAUUGCAAUGUCUGGUAUAUGAAGUAACAUUUACUCAAUGUAGAUAAAGUUAUUACUAGUUUAAAAUGUGUGCAUUGGCUUGUAUUAGUGUUUUAGUCUUUUUUGAAAGAUAUAUGCUCUGUUAAUGUUGCAUUUUAAAGUUCAUGCUAGUCUAACAUUCCUUGCUCUCUGCCUGCAUCUUUAACAAUGGCCAAAGUGAAGAAAAUGCUACCUUUUUUGUUAACAAGACAGUGAUUGAGACAUGUACAUCUAGAGCCUUUUAUUUUUUCCUUUUUUCUUUUGGUGUUGGACAUUCUGGGAAUAAGGAAAAACAUUUUUUGGUGGCAAAUCAAGGACCUCUAAGUUGUUAAGUAUAAAGUUGAAGUGAUUUCUAAUGCCAGCGUUACUUAUUUGCCUCUCCACAUUUUAUGAAGGAGCAUAUAUGUACGUGUGUGCAUGCAUGCAUGUGUAUGUUUUGCUUUUUGUUUACACCAACCAAUCAAAAGGGAUAGAUUCUAGAAGAUGGGGCAUGGUAGAGAAGGAGUUUUUGACGUUAAAAACAGCCGAGUUGUUUUCAUCACUUAGAUUCACUAGGACGGAGCUGCUCCCCUAAGGACAAGGACAGUAGGCGCUGCGUAGGCUUCUGUGUAUGUGUAUGUUUGUUUCGUUUUUGUUUUUGUUUUCUUUGUAGACCGUUCGGUGUGUGGUUUAUUCAAGGCUCCAUGGUUUUCUUUAAUGCUUCUGGCUAUGCAUUUUUUUUCUUACAUAUAGAAUUUGGGGGUGGCCUGGGCUCUAUGUUCGUGUUUGGGGACUUAGCAGUAUUGAGCCUCUUAUAGCCCUACUCUUAAGCCUGCAAUACUGUCCACUCUUGAUAUUUCUUAAUUUAUGAAAGCCCUCACACUCCCUAAAAUAUGAGCCUUUAAAACAUGGGAGAAUUAUCCCAAUCAUGGGUUUGAAAGGUCUGUUAAGAAAUGGAAAUGCUGCAGAGCUCAACGUAAUUCCUUAAACAGCAAGUUCCAUCUGCCUACAAAUCCUCUGAAGCUUCCCCGCCCUGUCCUGCCUCUCCAGUGCUCUGUUCCUUCAGACGGACUUGUAACGUAAUCUCUCGGACAUGAUAGCGACACCUCGAGGCAAUAAUAAAAGCUCAGUAGUAAC